GAUAAGCACAACUUAUAUAAGAACCUGUUUAGGCUAACUUGAAAAGUCUAGGUUCUUAUACGCGGGGUUUUACACCUGGUUGUCGUGAACUCGUAUAACAAUAUUAUUAGACAAUAUUAUAGACAAUAUUGUCGUCAUUAAAAAAACCCUCCACCUACUUUAAUCAAUCCUGGAAGAGAUGACCAGAACUCAACAUUUGGUAUAACUUCUUUGCCAGUCGCUCCUCUUUUAUACUUCAUAAAUAAUACUCCAGCCACAAGAUAAAUAACAAGAACCACGAAAAAACUAAAAA